rnacentral:pre_miRNA from 1 species
AUGAAUUUUACCUGGGGAACUUGUUAAAAUGCAGAUUCUGACAGUAGGUCUGGGGUGGGAUGUAUGAUUCUGCAUUUCUAACAAGUUUCCAGGUGGUGGUGAU